UGGAAAAAGAGGAAGAAGUGCAUGGAGCAUUCCUCAGGGGCCUGAAAUGAACAGGUGGUUAUAGUGUGAUUUCACCAGUGUUUCACCCUGGCUGUGCAGACAAGCCAAUAUCAGCAUAAGAAAGAAAAAGAAUGACAUAAAUUGGAUGUUAGAAGAGUUCUGAAGAUAGACAUCAGAAGAAUUCAAGAAUGCCAGUCAGAUGCAGCAGAAAGCUUGCCAGAAGACCAGAAACCAGAAUGCCAUCCCUUCUGGACAGAUGAUGAUGAAUGUAGUAUGCCUCUGCCAUAUGAUCUAGAAGAAGUAAUUGCUUAUCUACAAAAUCUUGUUCAAUGGAUAGAAUAACAAGUGACCUUCCAGCCCAGAAUUAUUGAUGCUGGUCAUCUUGGGAGAAGCUUUGUCAUUAUCAUAAAUCUUUUCAGCUUUAUGAUUCCUUUAUCAUAUGUUAUUUUAUGUGUCAAUGCAGAUUUUACCAGUCUUUACACAGUAGUUUCAUUACUGUCUCAUAAUAAAAAAGACGAGCCCCCAGA